AUUCCUCUCUUGGUGCGGUGGACUGCUGUUGCUGUGGAGGAUGGACCAUAUACUGAGCCAUCAUAUCGAUGGUUCUCUGCAGACCAGCUGUCCACCGCACCAAGAGAGGAAUC
rnacentral:pre_miRNA from 1 species